UAGCUCAGUUGGUAGAGUGUUUGCCUCACAUGCACAAGGCCCUGGGUUCAAUCCCCAG
rfam:Ictidomys tridecemlineatus contig079301, whole genome shotgun sequence.